rnacentral:rRNA from 1 species
UACAGAGGGUGCAAGCGUUAAUCGGAAUUACUGGGCGUAAAGCGUGCGUAGACGGUUACAUAAGUCGGAUGUGAAAGCCCCGGGCUCAACCUGGGAAUUGCAUUCGAGACUGUGUAGCUAGGAUGCGGAAGAGGGAAGCGGAAUUUCCGGUGUAGCGGUGAAAUGCGUAGAUAUCGGAAGGAACACCAGUGGCGAAAGCGGCUUCCUGGUCCAGCACCGACGUUCAGGCACGAAAGCGUGGGGAGCAAACAGG